rnacentral:rRNA from 1 species
UACGGAGGAUCCGAGCGUUAUCCGGAAUUAUUGGGUUUAAAGGGUGCGUAGGCGGCCCCCUAAGUCGGUGGUGAAAGACGGUGGCUCAACCAUCGCAGUGCCGUUGAUACUGGGGGGCUUGAAUUCGGACGAGGUAGGCGGAAUGAGGCAAGUAGCGGUGAAAUGCAUAGAUAUGCCUCAGAACACCGAUUGCGGAGGCAGCUUACCAGGGCGAUAUUGACGCUGAUGCACGAAAGCGUGGGGAUCGAAC